GACGAACGCUGGCGGCGUGCUUAACACAUGCAAGUCGAGCGGAAAGGCCACUUCGGUGGUACUCGAGCGGCGAACGGGUGAGUAACACGUGAGUAAUCUGCCCCUGGCUUUGGGAUAGCCACCGGAAACGGUGAUUAAUACCGGAUACGACCACUUCUCGCAUGGGAUGGUGGUGGAAAGUUUUUUCGGCCAGGGAUGUGCUCGCGGCCUAUCAGCUUGAUGGUGAGGUAAUGGCUCACCAUGGCUUCGACGGGUAGCCGGCCUGGGAGGGUGACCGGACACACUGGGACUGAGACACGGCCCAGACUCCUACGGGAGGCAGCAGUGGGGAAUAUUGGGCAAUGGGCGGAAGCCUGAUCCAGCAACGCCGCGUGAGGGAUGACGGCCUUCGGGUUGUAAACCUCUUUCAGCAGGGACGAAGCGCAAGUGACGGUACCUGCAGAAGAAGCACCGGCCAACUACGUGCCAGCAGCCGCAGUAA
rnacentral:rRNA from 1 species